AUUGAACGCUGGCGGCAUGCCUUACACAUGCAAGUCGAACGGCAGCACGGGAGCAAUCCUGGUGGCGAGUGGCGAACGGGUGAGUAAUAUAUCGGAACGUGCCCAGUCUGGGGGAUAACGUAGCGAAAGCUACGCUAAUACCGCAUACGAUCUAUGGAUGAAAGCGGGGGAUCGCAAGACCUCGCGCGAUUGGAGCGGCCGAUAUCAGAUUAGGUAGUUGGUGAGGUAAAGGCUCACCAAGCCGACGAUCUGUAGCUGGUCUGAGAGGACGACCAGCCACACUGGGACUGAGACACGGCCCAGACUCCUACGGGAGGCAGCAGUGGGGAAUUUUGGACAAUGGGCGCAAGCCUGAUCCAGCAAUGCCGCGUGCAGGAUGAAGGCCU
rnacentral:rRNA from 1 species